rnacentral:rRNA from 1 species
UAGAUGCGAGAGUAGAGCAUAUCAAUAAGCGGAGGAAAAGUCAACCUACGCUUAGGAUUUGACGAGACUGUCGAUCUCAUCUAUACAUGACUCUGUGCAUAUCAAUAAGCGGAGGAAAAGAAACUAACAAGGAUUCCCUUAGUAACGGCGAGUGAAGCGGGAAGAGCUCAAAUUUGAAAUCUUCAAGGUUCUACCUUGACGAAUUGUAGUUUAAAGAAGUGUUUUCUGUUGGAGUUUUGGUAAAAGUUCUUUGGAAUAGGACAUCAUAGAGGGUGAGAAUCCCGUAUUUGGUCAUUCCUCCUAGCGUUGUGAUACACUUUCAACGAGUCGGAUUGUUUGGGAAUGCAGUCCAAAAUGGGUGGUAAAUUUCAUCUAAAGCUAAAUAUUGGCGAGAGACCGAUAGCGAACAAGUACCGUGAGGGUAAGAUGAAAAGAACUUUGAAAAGAGAGUUAAACAGUACGUGAAAUUGUCAAAAGGGAAGCGUUUGACACCAGUGUUGUUUUUCCGAAAAUCAAUUACGAAUGUUUUGUUUUUGAGGAGUUAUGACUUCAUCGGCUUGCUCCUUUCUUUAUGAAACUUUCUUAAUGCACUUUUCGGUUAACAAGUCAACAUCAAUUUCUUUUGUUGUAAAAGGGUAUGAGGAAGGUGGCUUUCUUUUCGGAGAAAGUGUUUAUAGCCUUGUGCCUCUGCAAUCGGAGAGAUUGAGGUCUGCAGCGUAGAUCCUUCGGGGUUAGAUACGUUUGUGCUAAGUUAUAGCUUUUCAUAGACAACUUGUUGACUAUGUUUAGUCUUGUAGCUUACUCGCUGACGCUAUUUUACCUACGCUUAGGAUGUUGACGAGACUGUCGAUCUC